GAUGAAGAACGCAGCGAAAUGCGAUAAGUAAUGUGAAUUGCAGAAUUCAGUGAAUCAUCGAAUCUUUGAACGCACAUUGCGCCCCUUGGUGUUCCGAGGGGCAUGCCUGUUCGAGCGUCAUUACACCACUCAAGCUAUGCUUGGUAUUGGGCGUCGUCCUUAGUUGGGCGCGCCUUAAAGACCUCGGCGAGGCCACUCCGGCUUUAGGCGUAGUAGAAUUUAUUCGAACGUCUGUCAAAGGAGAGGAACUCUGCCGACUGAAACCUUUAUUUUUCUAGGUUGACCUCGGAUCAGGUAGGGAUACCCGCUGAACUUAAGCAUAUCAAUAAGCGGAGGA
rnacentral:misc_RNA from 1 species